rnacentral:lncRNA from 1 species
GGUUCCGGUAGCCUCAUAUAUCCGGAAGGUGGGUCAAUGGACAUUAGAUACGUGAUCACAUUUGUGCUUUCGGUGAAUCGUAACAAGACUGAAGAACCGGUGGAACGAAGUCUACUUCUUAUAUCAGUAGACUCAGUUUACUCACCCCACCAAGUGGACGAGGAAGGGGCUUUAGCCCAACCUUCUUUCUUGAACUGGCCUAAAGCCUAGAACUCGUUACCAGCCAAAAAACGAAAUUUCGACUCGUCAAGAUUGGGGGUUGCCCGACCCAUUUUGGUCUUCUUCGUAUGGGAUAUAACCCCGCAAGUAUAUUCAUUGACUCCCUUAUUAACCAAUAGGAAUAGGAGAAUAAUUAGAUUAACAAAUAGCAAUCGACUCUUGCCACGUUUUACCGCGGUAGCUCUUAGCCUCCCUUCUUCCAAAGACAAUGUGCAUUCAACUACUAGUCUAUUAUCCCUACCCUGCUUCACACGGAACCCACCUUAUAUUGUGAGGAAAAAAAAAAAAUUUGCCUUUGACGAGAAUAGUAAAUACCAUUAUAACGUCACCUUUAAUAGAAGAUAACAGGAUUUUUUUUUUAAUUUAUCAAGUUGGGUUUUAGUACCAUGGGUAGGUACAAGUGCUAUACGAUAUAACAGUGAAUUUCAUUUAAUUGUUUUGAAAAUUUUAGGGAUUUGAGUUUUAAAAUCUAUGGCCCUUGGGUGCUGUGGUUUUUAAUCUAUUGUGAAAAAAAAAACUAUAUACAUCGAACCACAAGAUCAAAUAGAGCAUAAAUUUAUUACGUCAAUGUAAUUAUCUUGAAAAAAAAUAAAUAAAUUAUAGUGUGUUUAGUUCUUGAAUUAGGGAGCGAGAAUGAUUUCCAUUUUUCAUUAAUAGUAUUUGUUAAAAAUAUAAAAGAAUAGCAGUGAAAUUGAAAUUUUAUUCCCAUGGGGAGGUCGAAGUGUAAAUAGGGAAUGAGAAUGAGAAUGAGAAUUGAAUUGAUAUUUUUUUAUUUAAAUAAAAUGGGUUAUUGGGUCGUGUUUGUAUCAUGUCAGUUUCGUGUAGUAUCAAAUUUAGGUCGACUCAAGCACGACCCAUUUAAUAAUUGUCUCAAAAUAUUGAGAUUCAAACCCGACACGAAAAUAAAUGGGUUACCCAAUAACCCGUUUAAUAUCUAUAUUUUUAACAUAUGUUACACAUACACACUCCAAACUAGUACACAUUUACACUAUUUAAAGUUUACACCCCACCAAGUGGACGAGGAAGGGGCUUUAGCCCAACCUUCUUUCUUGAACUGGCCUAAAGCCUAGAACUCGUUACCAGCCAAAAAACGAAAUUUCGACUCGUCAAGAUUGGGGGUUGCCCGACCCAUUUUGGUCUUCUUCGUAUGGGAUAUAACCCCGCAAGUAUAUUCAUUG